AGCAGCCGCGGUAAUUCCAGCUCCAAUAGCGUAUAUUAAAGUUGUUGCAGUUAAAAAGCUCGUAGUUGAAUUUCGGGAUCAAUAUUUCGGUCAUGCCGUUGGUAUGCACUGUUAUCAUUGAUUUCUCACCUUCUAAAGAACCGUAAUGCCAUUAAUUUGGUGUUACGGGGAAUUAGGACUGUUACCUUGAAAAAAUUAGAGUGUUUAAAGCAGGCUCACGCUUGAAUACAUUAGCAUGGAAUAAUGAAAUAGGACAUCCGAUUCUAUUUUGUUGGUUUCUAGGAUCGAUGUAAUGAUUAAUAGGGAUAGUUGGGGGCAUUAGUAUUCAAUUGUCAGAGGUGAAAUUCUUGGAUUUAUUGAAGACUAACUACUGCGAAAGCAUUUGCCAAGGAUGUUUUCAUUAAUCAAGAACGAAAGUUAGGGGAUCGAAGACGAUCAGAUACCGUCGUAGUCUUAACCAUAAACUAUGCCGACUAGGGAUCGGAUGAUGUUAAUUUUUUAAUGACUCAUUCGGCGCCUUACGG
rnacentral:rRNA from 1 species